rnacentral:rRNA from 1 species
GGGUUGUGAGGUUAAGCGACUAAGCGUACACGGUGGAUGCCCUGGCAGUCAGAGGCGAUGAAGGACGUGCUAAUCUGCGAUAAGCGUCGGUAAGGUGAUAUGAACCGUUAUAACCGGCGAUUUCCGAAUGGGGAAACCCAGUGUGAUUCGUCACACUAUCAUUAACUGAAUCCAUAGGUUAAUGAGGCGAACCGGGGGAACUGAAACAUCUAAGUACCCCGAGGAAAAGAAAUCAACCGAGAUUCCCCCAGUAGCGGCGAGCGAACGGGGAGCAGCCCAGAGCCUGAAUCAGUGUGUGUGUUAGUGGAAGCGUCUGGAAAGGCGCGCGAUACAGGGUGACAGCCCCGUACACAAAAAUGCACAUACUGUGAGCUCGAUGAGUAGGGCGGGACACGUGGUAUCCUGUCUGAAUAUGGGGGGACCAUCCUCCAAGGCUAAAUACUCCUGACUGACCGAUAGUGAACCAGUACCGUGAGGGAAAGGCGAAAAGAACCCCGGCGAGGGGAGUGAAAAAGAACCUGAAACCGUGUACGUACAAGCAGUGGGAGCACGCUUAGGCGUGUGACUGCGUACCUUUUGUAUAAUGGGUCAGCGACUUAUAUUCUGUAGCAAGGUUAACCGAAUAGGGGAGCCGAAGGGAAACCGAGUCUUAACUGGGCGUUAAGUUGCAGGGUAUAGACCCGAAACCCGGUGAUCUAGCCAUGGGCAGGUUGAAGGUUGGGUAACACUAACUGGAGGACCGAACCGACUAAUGUUGAAAAAUUAGCGGAUGACUUGUGGCUGGGGGUGAAAGGCCAAUCAAACCGGGAGAUAGCUGGUUCUCCCCGAAAGCUAUUUAGGUAGCGCCUCGUGAAUUCAUCUCCGGGGGUAGAGCACUGUUUCGGCAAGGGGGUCAUCCCGACUUACCAACCCGAUGCAAACUGCGAAUACCGGAGAAUGUUAUCACGGGAGACACACGGCGGGUGCUAACGUCCGUCGUGAAGAGGGAAACAACCCAGACCGCCAGCUAAGGUCCCAAAGUCAUGGUUAAGUGGGAAACGAUGUGGGAAGGCCCAGACAGCCAGGAUGUUGGCUUAGAAGCAGCCAUCAUUUAAAGAAAGCGUAAUAGCUCACUGGUCGAGUCGGCCUGCGCGGAAGAUGUAACGGGGCUAAACCAUGCACCGAAGCUGCGGCAGCGACGCUUAUGCGUUGUUGGGUAGGGGAGCGUUCUGUAAGCCUGUGAAGGUGUACUGUGAGGUAUGCUGGAGGUAUCAGAAGUGCGAAUGCUGACAUAAGUAACGAUAAAGCGGGUGAAAAGCCCGCUCGCCGGAAGACCAAGGGUUCCUGUCCAACGUUAAUCGGGGCAGGGUGAGUCGACCCCUAAGGCGAGGCCGAAAGGCGUAGUCGAUGGGAAACAGGUUAAUAUUCCUGUACUUGGUGUUACUGCGAAGGGGGGACGGAGAAGGCUAUGUUGGCCGGGCGACGGUUGUCCCGGUUUAAGCGUGUAGGCUGGUUUUCCAGGCAAAUCCGGAAAAUCAAGGCUGAGGCGUGAUGACGAGGCACUACGGUGCUGAAGCAACAAAUGCCCUGCUUCCAGGAAAAGCCUCUAAGCAUCAGGUAACAUCAAAUCGUACCCCAAACCGACACAGGUGGUCAGGUAGAGAAUACCAAGGCGCUUGAGAGAACUCGGGUGAAGGAACUAGGCAAAAUGGUGCCGUAACUUCGGGAGAAGGCACGCUGAUAUGUAGGUGAAGUCCCUCGCGGAUGGAGCUGAAAUCAGUCGAAGAUACCAGCUGGCUGCAACUGUUUAUUAAAAACACAGCACUGUGCAAACACGAAAGUGGACGUAUACGGUGUGACGCCUGCCCGGUGCCGGAAGGUUAAUUGAUGGGGUUAGCGCAAGCGAAGCUCUUGAUCGAAGCCCCGGUAAACGGCGGCCGUAACUAUAACGGUCCUAAGGUAGCGAAAUUCCUUGUCGGGUAAGUUCCGACCUGCACGAAUGGCGUAAUGAUGGCCAGGCUGUCUCCACCCGAGACUCAGUGAAAUUGAACUCGCUGUGAAGAUGCAGUGUACCCGCGGCAAGACGGAAAGACCCCGUGAACCUUUACUAUAGCUUGACACUGAACAUUGAGCCUUGAUGUGUAGGAUAGGUGGGAGGCUUUGAAGUGUGGACGCCAGUCUGCAUGGAGCCGACCUUGAAAUACCACCCUUUAAUGUUUGAUGUUCUAACGUGGACCCGUAAUCCGGGUUGCGGACAGUGUCUGGUGGGUAGUUUGACUGGGGCGGUCUCCUCCUAAAGAGUAACGGAGGAGCACGAAGGUUGGCUAAUCCUGGUCGGACAUCAGGAGGUUAGUGCAAUGGCAUAAGCCAGCUUGACUGCGAGCGUGACGGCGCGAGCAGGUGCGAAAGCAGGUCAUAGUGAUCCGGUGGUUCUGAAUGGAAGGGCCAUCGCUCAACGGAUAAAAGGUACUCCGGGGAUAACAGGCUGAUACCGCCCAAGAGUUCAUAUCGACGGCGGUGUUUGGCACCUCGAUGUCGGCUCAUCACAUCCUGGGGCUGAAGUAGGUCCCAAGGGUAUGGCUGUUCGCCAUUUAAAGUGGUACGCGAGCUGGGUUUAGAACGUCGUGAGACAGUUCGGUCCCUAUCUGCCGUGGGCGCUGGAGAAUUGAGGGGGGCUGCUCCUAGUACGAGAGGACCGGAGUGGACGCAUCACUGGUGUUCGGGUUGUCAUGCCAAUGGCACUGCCCGGUAGCUAAAUGCGGAAGAGAUAAGUGCUGAAAGCAUCUAAGCACGAAACUUGCCCCGAGAUGAGUUCUCCCUGACUCCUUGAGAGUCCUGAAGGAACGUUGAAGACGACGACGUUGAUAGGCCGGGUGUGUAAGCGCAGCGAUGCGUUGAGCUAACCGGUACUAAUGAACCGUGAGGCUUAACCUUACAACGCCGAAGCUGUU